GAGUUUGAUCAUGGCUCAGAUUGAACGCUGGCGGCAGGCCUAACACAUGCAAGUCGAACGGUAACAGGAAGCAGCUUGCUGCUUCGCUGACGAGUGGCGGACGGGUGAGUAAUGUCUGGGAAGCUGCCUGAUGGAGGGGGAUAACUACUGGAAACGGUAGCUAAUACCGCAUAAUGUCGCAAGACCAAAGAGGGGGACCUUCGGGCCUCUUGCCAUCGGAUGUGCCCAGAUGGGAUUAGCUUGUUGGUGGGGUAACGGCUCACCAAGGCGACGAUCCCUAGCUGGUCUGAGAGGAUGACCAGCCACACUGGAACUGAGACACGGUCCAGACUCCUACGGGAGGCAGCAGUGGGGAAUAUUGCACAAUGGGCGCAAGCCUGAUGCAGCCAUGCCGCGUGUAUGAAGAAGGCCUUCGGGUUGUAAAGUACUUUCAGCGGGGAGGAAGGGAGUAAAGUUAAUACCUUUGCUCAUUGACGUUACCCGCAGAAGAAGCACCGGCUAACUCCGUGCCAGCAGCCGCGGUAAUACGGAGGGUGCAAGCGUUAAUCGGAAUUACUGGGCGUAAAGCGCACGCAGGCGGUUUGUUAAGUCAGAUGUGAAAUCCCCGGGCUCAACCUGGGAACUGCAUCUGAUACUGGCAAGCUUGAGUCUCGUAGAGGGGGGUAGAAUUCCAGGUGUAGCGGUGAAAUGCGUAGAGAUCUGGAGGAAUACCGGUGGCGAAGGCGGCCCCCUGGACGAAGACUGACGCUCAGGUGCGAAAGCGUGGGGAGCAAACAGGAUUAGAUACCCUGGUAGUCCACGCCGUAAACGAUGUCGACUUGGAGGUUGUGCCCUUGAGGCGUGGCUUCCGGAGCUAACGCGUUAAGUCGACCGCCUGGGGAGUACGGCCGCAAGGUUAAAACUCAAAUGAAUUGACGGGGGCCCGCACAAGCGGUGGAGCAUGUGGUUUAAUUCGAUGCAACGCGAAGAACCUUACCUGGUCUUGACAUCCACGGAAGUUUUCAGAGAUGAGAAUGUGCCUUCGGGAACCGUGAGACAGGUGCUGCAUGGCUGUCGUCAGCUCGUGUUGUGAAAUGUUGGGUUAAGUCCCGCAACGAGCGCAACCCUUAUCCUUUGUUGCCAGCGGUCCGGCCGGGAACUCAAAGGAGACUGCCAGUGAUAAACUGGAGGAAGGUGGGGAUGACGUCAAGUCAUCAUGGCCCUUACGACCAGGGCUACACACGUGCUACGAUGGCGCAUACAAAGAGAAGCGACCUCGCGAGAGCAAGCGGACCUCAUAAAGUGCGUCGUAGUCCGGAUUGGAGUCUGCAACUCGACUCCAUGAAGUCGGAAUCGCUAGUAAUCGUGGAUCAGAAUGCCACGGUGAAUACGUUCCCGGGCCUUGUACACACCGCCCGUCACACCAUGGGAGUGGGUUGCAAAAGAAGUAGGUAGCUUAACCUUCGGGAGGGCGCUUACCACUUUGUGAUUCAUGACUGGGGUGAAGUCGUAACAAGGUA
rnacentral:rRNA from 1 species